rnacentral:lncRNA from 1 species
GUUCAAUCUCAACGUUAUGCAGAGCAACGACGAGUGGAGAUAGGUGCAGAGAUGAAGAAAACCAUUCUCAAAGAUGCAGUAAUGGAGCAAGAUAAUGCUACUGUGUUCAAGCUCAACAUUAUGCAGAUCAAUGACGAGUAGAUACGUGCAGAGAUGAAGAAAACCAGAUGCAGUACUGGAGCAAGAUGAUGCUACUGUGAUCAAGCUCAACAUUUAUGCAGAUCAAUGACGAGUAGAUAACGUGCAGAAGAGCAGAGAUGCAGU